UACGUAGGGUGCGAGCGUUAAUCGGAAUUACUGGGCGUAAAGUGUGCGCAGGCGGCGUUGCAAGUCGAGUGUGAAAUCCCCGAGCUUAACUUGGGAAUUGCGCUCGAAACUACGAUGCUCGAGUAUGGCAGAGGGAAGGUGGAAUUCCACGUGUAGCGGUGAAAUGACGUAGAGAUGUGGAGGAACACCGGAUGGCGAAGG
rnacentral:rRNA from 1 species